AUUGAUUUUAUGCUUGCAUAAAUGAUUUUUGGAUUCGGAGCGAGUGGCGAACUGGUGAGUAACACGUGGGUAACCUGCCCCGAAGCGGGGGAUAACAUUUGGAAACAAGUGCUAAUACCGCAUAAUUAGUUGGAACCGCAUGGUUCCAACUUGAAAGAUGGCUCUGCUAUCACUUUGGGAUGGACCCGCGCCGUAUUAGUUAGUUGGUGAGAUAAAAGCCCACCAAGACGAUGAUACGUAGCCGACCUGAGAGGGUAAUCGGCCACAUUGGGACUGAGACACGGCCCAGACUCCUACGGGAGGCAGCAGUAGGGAAUCUUCCACAACGGACGAAAGUCUGAUGGAGCAACGCCGCGUGAGUGAUGAAGGUUUUCGGAUCGUAAAACUCUGUUGUUAAAGAAGAACAAGUGUUAGAGUAACUGUUAACACUUUGACGGUAUUUAACCAGAAAGCCACGGCUAACCACGUGCCAGCAGCCGCGGUAAUACGUAGGUGGCAAGCGUUGUCCGGAUUUAUUGGGCGUAAAGCGAGCGCAGGCGGUUUUGUAAGUCUGCUGUGAAAGCCCUCAGCUCAACUGAGGAAGUGCAGUGGAAACUACAAAACUUGAGUACAGAAGAGGAAAGUGGAACUCCAUGUGUAGCGGUGAAAUGCGUAGAUAUAUGGAAGAACACCAGUGGCGAAGGCGGCUUUCUGGUCUGUUACUGACGCUGAGGCUCGAAAGCAUGGGUAGCGAACAGGAUUAGAUACCCUGGUAGUCCAUGCCGUAAACGAUGAAUACUAGGUGUUGGAGGGUUUCCGCCCUUCAGUGCCGCAGCUAACGCAUUAAGUAUUCCGCCUGGGGAGUACGACCGCAAGGUUGAAACUCAAAGGAAUUGACGGGGGCCCGCACAAGUGGUGGAGCAUGUGGUUUAAUUCGAUGCUACGCGAAGAACCUUACCAGCUCUUGACAUCUUCUGCCAACCCAAGAGAUUGGGCGUUCCCUUCGGGGACAGAAUGACAGGUGGUGCAUGGUUGUCGUCAGCUCGUGUCGUGAGAUGUUGGGUUAAGUCCCGCAACGAGCGCAACCCUUAUUAUUAGUUGCCAGCAUUUAGUUGGGCACUCUAGUGAGACUGCCGGUGAUAAA
rnacentral:rRNA from 1 species